rnacentral:rRNA from 1 species
UACAGAGACUGCAAGCGUUAUUCGGAUUCACUGGGCGUAAAGGGUGCGCAGGCGGUCAAGUGUGUCAGGUGUGAAAUCCCGAGGCUCAACCUCGGAACUGCGCCUGAAACUACUUGGCUAGAGUACUGGAGAGGGUAACGGAAUUCACGGUGUAGCAGUGAAAUGCGUAGAUAUCGUGAGGAACGCCAGAGGCGAAGGCGGUUACCUGGAGAGUUACUGACGCUGGGGCACGAAAGCGUGGGGAGCAAAAGGG